UAUGUUGCAUGAAUAAUAAGCAGAGAAUGAAAAUUUGAUGAAGUGCAGUAGACAAAUGGAAUAACUGAAGAAGCAAAAUACUGAGAAGAAAAGAAACUAUACGUGUUAAGAGUUAGAAUUGACCAUGAUAGGAAAAAUGACACUUUCAAUUUUUUACAGAAAAGAGGCUGAGAAGGUGAGUACAGAUGCAGAGAGGUGUGAAUAUUUGUUGGAAUGAAAAUGAAGUAAAUUCUCUCUGAUGGUUUCUGUAUUCACAGUGAAUUAUGGAGUAGGAUCACCAGCUGAAAAUGGGUAGAGUGAAGGAGUUUGACAUAACAGGAAAAAAAUAUGACAUUUUUACCUCAGAGAACGUGAACAUGAACUUCCUAGGGAAGCAUAGUAGGACUGCCAGGUUGUCUUGAGUGUUCAUUUGCAGUCUGUGGUCAGAAUUUCAAAAAAAAUCAGUCAGCUAAUUGUAUUAUUUCUUUAUUAAGUUGCUUCGUUCUCUGCACAAGGAACCAAACUGAGUUCAAGCAGGUCUAGGAUUUUGUUAAGUGAGUUCAACAGAGAGAGAUGGGAGCCAAGGCAGUUGAUUGUGCUUAAAAAGGAAUAUAAUGAUGAACCAUGAAAUUCAAGCUGGGUAAACAUUGGAGUAAAUACAGAUCAUUAAAAAGUAGUGGGGUGAGGGUGGGAGUCAAUGGACUGGACAUCUCUAAGAGGCCAAACACUUAUUGCCAACCUAAAGUGAGAUGGUGGACUGAAUAAGAUGCCCAGAAUUGACGUUUCACAAGUAGUGCAGUUAUUAGGGCUUACGUGGUCUGGGGUUAGUCUAAGAUAUGAGUUUAGGUUGUGUAAUAGUCUUCGGAGGUGAUGAAGUUAGAGAAUUAAGUUUUUUCUGGUUCUGCGUGUAAGGAGCUUACAAGUUCCCACUCCAUCCUAACUGAGUGAAAAGUCAACAACUCUUUGGAUCCGCAAGAGGGGGGAGAACACAGGACAAACCUCUAUCCUCAAGACUGGAGAGACAGGAAAAUAUUGGGAGUCACAGUUUACCUAAGCAGAGUGUUUGAGAUACAGCAAUCAACAACAACCAAAGAUAGUCCCUGCAUUGUUUGAGGCUUAUAUUCCUGUGAGGGGAGCCAGAAAAUAAACAUGUUAUACCUAUAGUGGAGAAGCAGUCUAAGGAUGGGACGUCACCCAGAGGAGAAUAGAACUGAGGAAAUGACAGAGAACUGGAGCUAGAGCCACUGAAUGAAGCGGACUCAGGUUCAUUGCAAACUCUGGGCUUCUAAUUGUGGAAAUCAGUGCAUUUCUUAAUUUCUUAAACCAGGUGGGAUUGGGAUUACUAGAAAUUGAGGUAUCCUAACUGACAAAAUCCAACUCUUUCUUAACAAGUCAAGAGAUAUUUAAAUAUGUAAGUUAUAUGUAUAUAUGUUAAUAUGCAUUAUUUAGAAAAGUGGAGCUUGCUAACAGAAGAAAUAGCUUUAAAUAGUUGAAGUGUUUUCUUCUUGGAAACAGGGUCGAGAGAUGGA